AUUGAACGCUGGCGGCAGGCCUAACACAUGCAAGUCGAACGAGUGGCAGACGGGUGAGUAAUGUCUGGGAAACUGCCUGAUGGAGGGGGAUAACUACUGGACACGGUAGCUAAUACCGCAUACCAUCGGAUGUGCCCAUAUGGGCUUAGCUAGUAGGUGGGGUAACGGAUCACCUAGGCGACGAUCCCUAGCUGGUCUGAGAGGAUGCCCAGCCACACUGGAACUGAGACACGGUCCAGACUCCUACGGGAGGCAGCAGUGGGGAAUAUUGCACAAUGGGCGCAAGACUGAUGCAGCCAUGCAGCGUGUAGGAAGAAGGCCUUCGGGUUGUAAAGUACUUUCAGCGGGGAGGCGUUACCCGCAGAAGAAGCACCGGCUAACUCCGUGCCAGCAGCCGCGGUAAUUC
rnacentral:rRNA from 1 species